rnacentral:lncRNA from 1 species
GAUAAUAGAUAUUUGCACUCAAUUGAGAAGGUGCAACUAUUUUGAAUUCAUAUUCCUUAUCAAUACAAAUCAAAGUAUAAAUAUUCAAAUCUUAAUCCUAAUUGAAUAAAUCUUAAUUCUAAAUUUAUUUACAAAGUUUCAAUUAUUACCGCUGUCGUAUUACGUACUUUCCUGCUUGAGAACGUGCAGGGCGUCUGGCUGUAGAAGGUAGUAUGGAGAUUCGCUAAUAUUCAAACAGUCUAUUAUUUUUUGACUGUUGGAAUAUAAACAACUGCAAGAAUACAUCGUAAAUCUAUACGGAUGUCCUUCGACUGCUCGCCAAAGUCCUUUUUGUCCCAGCCGGUAGGUCUCUAGACGUUACAGAGAAUCCCGAACAACCCAAACUAUUAAUCUUCGAUACCGCUUUAUAUUCACGAUCUUGUAUCUAGUGACUGUCUCGUUAGAUUAAUCCAAUAAAUUUCAUUCACUCCGCAUACUCAAUCCUAUAGACACUCUUUUAAUUCUUCAUCACAGACGUAACUCGAUUUCACAAAACAGUCAAGAGUAAUCAAACCCACAUCAUUAAAAAUCCCGAUUCACCAUUACAACACUGACUUCAGUAACGAUUGCCUCAGUCUUCUCAAAACCCUAUGAAGAAAAAAAAAACCCAAUUCUCAGU